rnacentral:rRNA from 1 species
CGUAGGGUGCAAGCGUUAAUCGGAAUUACUGGGCGUAAAGCGUGCGCAGGCGGUUAUGCGAGACAGAUGUGAAAUCCCCGGGCUCAGCCUGGGAACUGCAUUUGUGACUGCAUAGCUAGAGUACGGUAGAGGGGGAUGGAAUUCCGCGUGUAGCAGUGAAAUGCGUAGAUAUGCGGAGGAACACCGAUGGCGAAGGCAAUCCCCUGGACCUGUACUGACGCUCACGCACGAAAGCGUGGGGAGCAAACAGGAUUAGAUACCCUGGUAGUCCACGCCCUAAACGAUGUCAACUGGUUGUUGGGAGGGUUUCUUCUCAGUAACGUAGCUAACGCGUGAAGUUGACCGCCUGGGGAGUACGGCCGCAAGGUUG